UCCGGUUUCCGGUCUCGGAAAUUUGGAGAAAAUGGUUUAGUGACAAUGGAAAUAGACUCAAACCUCACUUGAGUUUCACACUCAAAUGAAGCAAAUAUCCCAACAUAACAUAAAAAUUAGGCCGAGGCCGACACCAUAUUUCGCUCAAGACAGUCCUUCUUACUUUUAGAAAAGAUUCAUAUAUUUUUUCUUUUUGUCUGUGAAUUGGAUAUUGAACUGAACAAAGGCCCUGUUGACCAUCUCAGCAGGGGUUGAACCCAGGACACCCAGCAUGUCUUUCACUUUAUUGCAAGAGAAGCAGUACACUCAACAAGGGGUGUUAAAAGGAGAAGAAGGUCAGAAGAACCCGUAUCAGACAACAAACGUACCAUAUGUAAAGUGAACUCUCAUUCAUCCCUGCCUUUCCUUUGCUCAUUUCUCCUCCUCUUCUUCUGAAAUUGUGCACCUAAUGGUUUUGGGCUUUUCUUCUCCAUAUUUAUAACAAAA